rnacentral:tRNA from 1 species
UAGAAUGUAGUGUAAUGGUAGCACAGAGAAAUUUGAGUUCUUUAGAGUAGGUUUGAGUCCUAGGAUUCUAG